AAUAAAGGUGAGAAGGGAACUUCUUUAUAGGAACAUUUGACUUCUUGUCUUUCAGCCAAGGUUCCUUGUCAACUAUUAUUCAAGGAUUUCUUAUACAUUAUCUAAUAUUUCGGAAACUUUUAGAUUGCCUAAGCAGAACCCUAAAAAACUGCUUAAAAUGUGACUCAGCAUUCAGUGGAUUAGAAAUGAAUACAAACGUUUCUGCAAGUCCCCAGCCGCUUAUAGCUUAUGCAGGCUGUCUUUGAACGAACUGCCAUUUUUUCUGCUAUAGAGCCAUUUUCAAACCCUGACACCUGGUAGUUGGUGUUAGAAGCUCAAGUCCUCUACUUGUUUCAUCGAAGCACAAUGUUGCAGAAAUGGCCAUGCAAGCCAAAGU
rnacentral:misc_RNA from 1 species